UCCAAUUCCCUCUUCUCCAACGUCGCUGAACUCCCUAGAGAAUGCCUCUCUGGAUGACAAGCUGGAAGCCAUCGCACGUCUUCCGGUUCGUGGACUCGUUGCGGCAGGUGCAGGUGGCGAGUGGACUGCAUCUAUCCAUGAGUAUGAAAAGCUUUUCAUACGGAUGGAUACUCCAAGGAUGGCGCCCGAGGUUAUGGAGCAAUUGCAUGGUUAAAUCAUUUGUUUGGUAGUGGAUGCUCAGUGGUUGAAGUUCUACAAGAGCAAUCCAAUGAGAUGGUUAAAUCAUUUGUUUGAUCAAUAAGGGACAUCACCGUAUUCAAGGAACGGUUUCAACAUGACAAUGA